AGGGGNCAAGCGUUNUCCGGAUUUUAUUNGGCGUAAAGGGCUNGUAGGCGNUUCGACAAGUCGGGUGUGAAACCUCCAGGCUCAACCUGGAGUCGCCGCUNGAAACUGUUGUGACUAGAGUCCGGUAGAGGAGCAUGGAAUUUGUGGUGUAGCGGUGGAAUGCGCAGAUAUCACAAGGAACACCAGUAGCGAAGGCGAUGCUCUGGGCCGGUACUGACGCUGAGGAGCGAAAGCAUGGGGAGCGAACAGGAUUAGAUACCCUGGUAGUCCAUGCCGUAAACGUUGGGCACUAGGUGUGGGACUCUCUCAACGGGUUCCGUGCCGUAGCUAACGCAUUAAGUGCCCCGCCUGGGGAGUACGGCCGCAAGGCUAAAACUCAAAGGAAUUGACGGGGGCCCGCACAAGCAGCGGAGCAUGUUGCUUAAUUCGAGGCAACGCGAAGAACCUUACCUGGGCUUGACAUGUAGAGAAAAGCCGUAGAGAUACGGUGUCCUUCGGGGCUCUAUGCAGGUGGUGCAUGGCUGUCGUCAGCUCGUGUCGUGAGAUGUUGGGUUAAGUCCCGCAACGAGCGCAACCCUUGUCCUAUGUUGCCAGCGGGUAAUGCCGGGGACUCGUAGGAGACUGCCGGGGUCAACUCGGAGGAAGGUGGGGACGACGUCAAGUCAUCAUGCCCCUUACGUCCAGGGCUGCAAACAUGCUACAAUGGCUGGUACAACGGGCUGCUAUCCCGCGAGGGUGAGCGAAUCCCAUAAAGCCAGUCUCAGUUCGGAUUGGAGUCUGCAACUCGACUCCAUGAAGCUGGAGUCGCUAGUAAUCCCGGAUCAGCAUUGCCGGGGUGAAUACGUUCCCGGGCCUUGUACACACCGCCCGUCACACCACGAAAGUUGGUAACGCCCGAAGCCGGUGGCCUAACCCUUUUGGGAGGGAGCCGUCGAAGGUGGGAUCAGCGAUUGGGGUGAAGUCGUAACAAGGUAACC
rnacentral:rRNA from 1 species